rnacentral:misc_RNA from 1 species
AACCGCUGUAUACGUGAACCGUACGUACAGUGGUGUGAGAGGCUCUCCCCGUCAGCCAAGGCUGGCGGGGUAGUCUACUCGAU